AACUUAUAUAAAAGGUAAUGGUACAAAUUAAAAGAACUUAGGAUGUUCUGGUACAACUUAUAGAAAAGGUAAUAAUAACCCCAAACAUGCAAUGGUCUU